GACGAUGUAGAGAGUGAGGGAGA
rnacentral:miRNA from 1 species